rnacentral:lncRNA from 10 species
CUUUGUUCAAUAGGAGCUGGUUUGGGAAGUGGUGUCUAUAGGGGGUGCUUUUUGCUGGCUUUUUAAAAUAAACAACUGACUGAAAGCCAAAAAAGAAUCUCACAACCCACUACUGGAACAAGUCUCAGUGUGGAUCUCAGGUUUUGGAGAUGAACCACCAAGCAGACAUUUUGGGGAAACCAAAGAACAGAGAAGGGUCAGGAUACAACUUUCAGCCAACAAGUCACAUUAUUCGGCAUGAGAGAGUACACACACAACUAUCAGUAACCAGGGACAGAUGUGGGUUAACCUCAGGAUGUUCAGAAAAAUCAAAGAUGGAGAAGGAUGCAGAAACAUUUGGACUUUCUGCCUUCUAACUGAGGCAUCCUUAUCCAGCUGCCAGUUCUCAGGAGCAAGUGACACCAGGAAUGCCUAUAACCUGGAUAAGUGCUCCCAGCCAGGCCAGCCUCAGGUACUGCAUCUGAACUUGGCCUCAACAAGAAGGCUAAAGGGAAGGAAUCUGAUCACAGUGGCAGCAUCGGGACUCUCUACCUGCUUGCCUCAUCCCUGGAGCUACUCAUUAAAGUCCUACUCCAGCUUCCAGAGGCUAUAGAACAGUCCACCUUCACACAAGCGGGAGUUUGGAGCUUCUAUGCCUGCAGAGUUUCUAUCUCCCAUAGCUAGCUAUGGGAGAGUAAAAAAAAAAAAAAGAAUCGAUGGAGAGAUACGUCCUCCCCAUGCCUUCAUGGUUUAUCAACAUCCUCCUUGAAAUGCAAAUCAAAACCACAAUGAGAUACCAUCUCACACCAGUCAGAAUGGCUAUUAAAAAGUCAACAAAUAACUUAUGUUGGUGAGGUUACAGAGAAAACAGAACAUUUAUAAACUUGAUGGGAGUAUAAAUUAAUUUAGCCAUUGUGGAAGACAGUGUGACAAUUCCUCAAAGAACUAAAAACGGAUAUACCAUUCAACCUAGCAAUCCUAUUACUGGGUUUAUACCCAAAGGCAUAUAAAAUUAUUCUGUUAUAAAGACACAUGUGUGUGUGUAUAUUCAUUGCAGCACCAUUCACAAUAACAGAGACACAGAAUCAACCUAAAUUCCUGUCAAUGUUAGACUGGAUAAAGAAAAUGUGGUACAUAUAUACCAUGGAAUACUAUGCAGCCAUAAAAAGAACAAGAUCAUGUCCUUUGCAGGAACAUGGAUGGAGCUGGAGGCCAUUAUCCUUAGCAAACUAAUUCAGGAACAGAAAACCAAAUGCCACAUGUUCUCACUUAUAAGGGGGAGCGAAAUGAUGAGAACUCAUGAACACAAAGAAGGGAACAACAGAUGCUAAGGUCUAUCAGAGAGUAGAAGUUGGGAGGAGAGAGAGGAUCAGGAAAAAUAACUAAUGGGUACUAGGCUUUAAUACUUGGGUAAUGAAAUAAUCUGUACAACAAACCCCCAUGACACAAGCGUACCUACGUAGCAAACCUGUACAUGUACCCCUGAACUUAACGUAAAAGUUAAAGAAAAUAAGACAUAAGUAGAGAUAAAAUUAACGACAAUAAUCAUAAAGUGAAAACUGAAAGCAAGAAAAAUCCAAAAUAAAAUCAUCCUCACCCUCCAUGGCUCAAAUCAAAUGCCAACUCCUUCACAAAGCCUCUCCUAAUAAAGCCAAAGUGACCUAUAUAUUGUUUAAGCCAAGGCCCCUCAUGUGGGAGUUUCUGUGGUCUUUAAUGAAUGAACUCUGAAAUUAUACAUGUUCUAAACACUUAUAUGCCCUGCUAAGUUCCAGGUUGAGGUGAAGUACUGUUU